UUCUGAUUGCUUCAUAAUCAGUAGGGCCUGCUCAAUGAACUUUAAAUAGCCGCGAUUUACGUGCUAAGGUAGCAUAAUCAAUUGCCUUCUAAUUAAAGGCUGGAAUGAAAGGCUUAACAAAUAAAAUUCUUUAUUGAAAAUAUUUCUUUAAACUAAUUUAUAAAUAAAAAAGUUUAUAUAUAUAAGGGGGACGACAAGACCCUAUCGAACUUUACUUCUUAGUUUCACUGGGGAGGUGAAAUAAUAAAAUCUUUUUAUAUUCCUAUAAAAAAAUAAUUCAGAAAGAACUUUGAACUAGUUACCGUAGGGAUAACAGCAUAAUUAAUUUUAGAAGAUCUUAUUUUAAAAUAAGAUUAUGACCUCGAUGUUGAAUUAAAGUACCUUUAGGAGAAAAAGCUUAAAAGGAAAGUCUGUUCGACUUUUAAAACUUU
rnacentral:rRNA from 1 species